UACGUAGGGUGCAAGCGUUGUCCGGAAUUAUUGGGCGUAAAGGGCUCGUAGGCGGUCCAUCGCGUCGGGAGUGAAAAGCUGGGGCUUAACCCCAGUCCUGCUUCCGAUACGGGUGGACUAGAGGUAGGUAGGGGAGAUCGGAAUUCCUGGUGUAGCGGUGAAAUGCGCAGAUAUCAGGAGGAACACCGGUGGCGAAGGCGGAUCUCUGGGCCUUACCUGACGCUGAGGAGCGCAAGCAUGGGGAGCAAACAGG
rnacentral:rRNA from 1 species